GACGAACGCUGGCGGCGUGCUUAACACAUGCAAGUCGAACGGAAAGGCUCCAGCUUGCUGGAGUACUCGAGUGGCGAACGGGUGAGUAACACGUGGGUAAUCUGCCCUGCACUCUGGGAUAAGCCUGGGAAACUGGGUCUAAUACUGGAUAUGACCUUUCUCCUUAUGGGGUUUGGUGGAAAGUUUUUCGGUGUAGGAUGAGCCCGCGGCCUAUCAGCUUGUUGGUGGGGUGAUGGCCUACCAAGGCGACGACGGGUAGCCGGCCUGAGAGGGUGAUCGGCCACAUUGGGACUGAGAUACGGCCCAGACUCCUACAGGAGGCAGCAGUGGGGAAUAUUGCACAAUGGGCGGAAGCCUGAUGCAGCGACGCCGCGUGAGGGAUGACGGCCUUCGGGUUGUAAACCUCUUUCAGCAGGGACGAAGCGUAAGUGACGGUACCUGCAGAAGAAGCACCGGCUAACUAUGUG
rnacentral:rRNA from 1 species